ACAACCAUCUGAUUCCUAAUAAACAGCAAAUUGAUACUCUUCUUCGAGAAGCUACUUUUUUACAGAAUUUUCUUGAAAAAUCUAUACAAACGGACAACGAAAAAGUAGAACGUUUGGAGUGUCAAAUCAGAGAUGCAGCAUACAAAGCUGCAAAUAUCGUUGAAUCAUACUUGGUGGAUGGACUUCUUUCAAAAUCAGCAAGUUAUGCUGUUGAGAGCUUCAAUCAGGCCAUAGAGGAAGUAAUAGAAGAAAUCCAUUCCAUUAAGCAAGAGGUGAUGAAGGUUGAGGAUGAGAUUGGUGUACACGAUCUGCAGCCAAGGACUUCAUUGGGUGCUGUCUCAUCGAAUCCUACUCUUAGUGGCAUGGUGGGUCUUGAUGAUGAACUUGAGGAGAUCAAGACUCGGCUGAUU
rnacentral:lncRNA from 1 species